AGUGAACGCUGGCGGUAGGCCUAACACGUGCAAGUCGAACGGCAGCACAGUAAGAGCUUGCUCUUACGGGUGGCGAGUGGCGGACGAGUGAGGAAUACAUCGGAAUCUACUUUUUCGUGGGGGAUAACGUAGGGAAACUUACGCUAAUACCGCAUACGACCUACGGGUGAAAGCAGGGGAUCUUCGGACCUUGCGCGAUUGAAUGAGCCGAUGUCGGAUUAGCUAGUUGGCGGGGUAAAGGCCCACCAAGGCGACGAUCCGUAGCUGGUCUGAGAGGAUGAUCAGCCACACUGGAACUGAGACACGGUCCAGACUCCUACGGGAGGCAGCAGUGGGGAAUAUUGGACAAUGGGCGCAAGCCUGAACCAGCCAUACCGCGUGGGUGAAGAAGGCCUUCGGGUUGUAAAGCCCUUUUGUUGGGAAAGAAAAGCAGCAGGUUAAUACCCCGCUGUUCUGACGGUACCCAAAGAAUAAGCACCGGCUAACUUCGUG
rnacentral:rRNA from 1 species